UCCCUGGUGGUCCAGUGGUUAAGACUCCACGCUCCCAAAGCAGGGGUCCCAGGUUCAAUCCCUGGUCAGGGAA